rnacentral:rRNA from 1 species
UACGUAGGGGGCAAGCGUUGUCCGGAAUCAUUGGGCGUAAAGAGCGUGUAGGCGGCCAGAUAAGUCCGCUGUGAAAUCUCGAGGCUCAACUUCGAGCUGUCGGUGGAAACUGUCUGGCUAGAGUCCGGAAGAGGAGAAUGGAAUUCCUGGUGUAGCGGUGAAAUGCGCAGAUAUCAGGAAGAACACCCGUGGCGAAGGCGGUUCUCUGGGACGGUACUGACGCUGAGACGCGAAAGCUAGGGGAGCGAACAGG